rnacentral:rRNA from 1 species
CUCCUCCGGGUGGCUGCAGUAACGAAUAUUCCGCAAUGGGCGAAAGCCUGACGGAGCGACGCCGCGUGGAGGACGAAUUCCCUCGGGAUGUAAACUCCUUUUCGGAUCAAGAAAACAAAGGGCGCUAAUAUCGCCCGGCGCUGAUCUAGUCCGGAAUAAGCCUGGGCUAACUCCGUGCCAGCAGCCGCGGUAAUACGGAGCAGGCAAGCGUUGUUCGGAAUUAUUGGGCUUAAAGCGCGUGUAGGCGCCCUAGCAAGUACCUUGUGAAAGCCCUCGGCUCAACCGAGGAGUUGCUUGGUAUACUGCUGGGCUUGAGGCGGGUAGGGGUGCUUGGAACUCUAGGUGGAGCGGUGAAAUGCGUAGAUAUCUAGGGGAACGCCUGUGGCGAAAGCGGAGCACUGGGCCCGACCUGACGCUGAGACGCGAAAGCGUAGGUAGCGAACGGGAUUAGAUACCCCGGUAGUCUACGCCGUAAACGAUGCGCACUAGGUAGUGGGGAUUACCGCCAUUCUCACUGCUGAAGCUAAAGUAUUAAGUGCUCCGCCUGGGGAGUACGGU